rnacentral:tRNA from 1 species
GGGGAUUUAGCUCAGUGGUGGAGCACUUGCCUAGCAAGCACAAGGCCCUGGGUUCGGUCCCCAGCUCUG